rnacentral:rRNA from 1 species
GACGAACGCUGGCGGCGUGCCUAAUACAUGCAAGUUGAGCGCUGAAGGUUGGUGCUUGUUCCGACUGGAUGAGCAGCGAACGGGUGAGUAACGCGUGGGGAAUCUGCCUUUGAGCGGGGGACAACAUUGGGAAACGAAUGCUAAUACCGCAUAAUAACUUUAAACACAAGGUUUAAGUUUGAAAGAUGCAAUUGCUUCACUCAAAGAUGAUCCCGCGUUGUAUUAACUAGGUGGUGAGGUAAAGGCUCACCAAGGCGAAGAUUCCUUACCGGCCCGAGAGGGGGGAUGGCCCACACGGGAACUGGGAAACGGCCCAGCCUCCUACGGAGGGAGCCAGAGGGGAAUCUUGGGCAAGGGCGGAAGGCCGAACGAGGCAACCCGGCGGGAGGGAUGAGGGUGUCGGAUCGGUAAAACCCGUUGAUUGGGAAGAAAGAUAGUUAGAGUGGAAAGCGCAUAAAGUGACGGUACCUACUCAGAAAGCCACGGCUAACUACGUG